rnacentral:lncRNA from 1 species
UGUUCAGUACACAUUUGAGAGAAGGCUUCAGAGAGGAGUUGAUAAUUGAUGAUGUCUUACAGGAUAAGUCAAAUUCUACUGGGUUGACAAGGUAGAGUUUACUUUAGAAGAGAUUGCAGAUGUGGAAGGACUUGGUACAUCCUUCGGGGAGAAUGUACUACUCAUCACCUCCCACCUGUGAAAGCCCCUCUUCAGACAAAGAAGAAAACAACAAAUCAUUGUUUUCUUUGUGGAAAGAAAACAGGACUGGCUAGUAGCUACGAAUGCAGGCAGGUUGGCGAGCUGGAGAAGCUCAGAUGCUUUCUCUGUGAUAACCCAGCUUGGGGAUUAUGCAAAAUAAAAUAUUUAAAUUGCCUGUUUAUAACAUCAUUAAGAUGAUGUUCAAUAGCUAUCUUCAGUUGAACUUCUAAUUGGCUGAAGUAAAGAACAAGUAGAUAGCUCAUGGGUUUCCAAAAGACAAAAACAGAUCCUUCCUUGUCCUUUAAGUUAGGAGGUUUAAACCAAUCUGAGAGUGUACCUUUUUCGUCUUAUGAUGAACCUGCUUGGAUUUUGUUUGAGUGGCACCUUGGAAGAACCCCUCCCUGAAUAUUCUAUUAAAAAUUUAAUUAAAAAAUUAAAAGUUAAUAUAAAAUAGAUGAAUAAUA